rnacentral:tRNA from 1 species
CUGCCCGUAGCUCAGCUGGAUAGAGCAUCGGCCUUCUAAGCCGAGGGUCAGCGGUUCGAGCCCGCUCGGGCAGGCCA